UAAUACGUAGGGGGCUAGCGUUGUCCGGAUUUAUUGGGCGUAAAGAGCGUGUAGGCGGCCGAGUAAGUCCGGUGUGAAAACUCGAGGCUUAACCUCGAGAUGUCAUCGGAAACUAUUCGGCUAGAGUCCGGAAGAGGAGAGUGGAAUUCCUGGUGUAGCGGUGAAAUGCGCAGAUAUCAGGAAGAACACCUAUGGCGAAAGCAGCUCUCUGGGACGGUACUGACGCUGAGACGCGAAAGCGUGGGGAGCGAACAGGAUUAGAUACCCUGGUAGUCCACGCUGUAAACGAUGGGCACUAGGUGUGGGGGGUGUCGACUCCCUCCGUGCCGAAGCUAACGCAUUAAGUGCCCCGCCUGGGGAGUACGGCCGCAAGGCUA
rnacentral:rRNA from 1 species